UACGUAGGGUGCGAGCGUUAAUCGGAAUUACUGGGCGUAAAGCGUGCGCAGGCGGUUGGCAAAGUCAGCUGUGAAAGCCCCGGGCUUAACCUGGGAAUGGCGGUUGAAACUAGUUGACUAGAAUCUGGCAGAGGGGGGUGGAAUUCCACGUGUAGCAGUGAAAUGCGUAGAGAUGUGGAGGAACACCGAUGGCGAAGGCAGCCCCCUGGGCUGAGAUUGACGCUCAGGCACGAAAGCGUGGGGAGCAAACAGG
rnacentral:rRNA from 1 species